CCAACGGCCCUCUUUAGGGCCACUCAAUGAUACUCAUUUCAUUUUU
rfam:Strongyloides venezuelensis genome assembly, scaffold: SVE_scaffold0000016